AUCUGCCUUAUGUAUUGCUACACCUAGAUGUAUUUUUAACUUCCCUGUGGUAACUAUAGCAUACGUACAGAUGGAUUUACUGAAGGAUGGAUAAAACAUACUACGAAUUACACAGACUGUGCAUAGGGAUACUAGGAAUGUGGUUGGCUGUAAAAGUACCUGACUCUUGCAGUCACUCAUAUUUUUUAAACUGAGACAAUAUUAGAUAGUUGGGUUUCUUUUUUUGCCUUUUUUUCUCUUCCUUUGUUUGCUGUCUGCUGUAAAGGACAGGUUGAAAUCAGGACUCACGUAGCAGAGCUAUUCACAAAGUGGGUUGCUUCUGAGGCCAGACCAGUCCCAUCUGUAAAGGACAAAGGCUGCUCACAGCAUGGUUGUUCAGAGCUAUUCAAGGAUGGAAAACGCAAGGAAUCAUAGAGGAAUAUGUAGAUGUGCUGAGGAUCAAGGUAUGCAGCAUAUGGAGCAAGAGAUUCAACCUAAGCGGACUGGCCGACACCCUGGAGUGCUGUGCAGCUCUUCAGAAGGACCCUGACAGGUUGGAAAGGCAGAAAGAGGGGGAGAAAAAGAGAAAUCGGUGCAGAAUAGAAUGACACUCAAAUGGUGAAUUUCUCAUGUGAAUUCAGAGUUCAAACAGAGGUAAAUUUAGCCUGUUCAUCCACAGUCUCUACUUUGGGAUCAAGCACAGCCUUUUUGUAUUCCAAGGAAGAGACGUUCAUCUCAUUGGGAACACCACUGUGGCCAGCAGACAGCAUCUAGCAGAUCUUCUAACAGCUACCAAGAACACUUCAGCUCUUCAAGUGAGUGCAACCAGCCAUGAUAAUCUGUACAGAUGGUUCCUGGGUGUCAGAUUUUUUUUUCCCCACAGCCUUUUGUUCAGCAGCUGGGAAAACUUCAUGGGUGGAGACCUGUGUGGUAGCUGAAAAUCAGUCAGUCUGGGUUUUGCCAGCACGCAGUUCUGCUGGCCACGCUCGCAAGCUGCUCUGAUGCUGCCUGCUACUGAGUCUACCUUUCAGAUAAACCUUAUCCCUCGGAGUGUACUGGUACUUGAAAAUGAGUCCUUGAAUAACCUGCACAAAAGCUGAACCACCAGAGGCGCUACUUUGGAAAAGCAAGCAGAGGAAGGUACCAGAAGCAGUGCAAAGGGAACACUUCUGGGCUUUGGAAAUUUCUACAUUGCUCUUCUACAGUGACUCAGCUGAAGAUCUCCCAUAUGACCCAGGAGAAUGCGUGGUAGGGUGGGAUUUCCACCCUUUGGAGGAAUGUAGAAUGAUCCUCAGGUAUGACCUCAGCUUCAGCCUAGCUCUCUUCCCACGUCCCCUGGACUUCUCUGGGCAAUCUUUAACCACUGAGCAGCAGAUGCUUGCUGUAGCUCAUGCCAGGCAUUGCACUUCUGUCUUUCUAGGAAUGUUUACCUAAUGUUUUCCAAGGAAAAAAAAAUCUACCUUUUGAUUUUGCACAGCAGGAGAAUUUUCCUGUUGUACCAGAUAACAACCUCAAUAUGUACUUUCACAGUCUGUUUCUUCUAGAGGAUAUUUUUGGCCCAUAAGUGGUGUUUUAAGAAUAAUUCUACCAGUACUAUUUUUAUAAUAUGUAUCACUUCAUGGUGCAUUACUAACCAUAUGGCCAAGCACACUACAUGCAGCUACAUUGCAAGGUUUGCUGCCCAGUAGGCAUGAGAGGCAUUUAUUUUGAAUGAUGUGCAUUGAGGAAAAAAAUUCCGCUUCAAAGGUACAGGCUUAGGACCCUUAUUUCUCUUCUUGGUUCUCCCUUGGUUUUAAAUGAGGUUCAGCUUUUCUCCCUUGGAAUCUCACUGCAAUAAUGUGGGCUCAGAGCAGCUGUUUUUACUUUGCCUUGCUGAUAACUGGCAGGAGAUAAAAUACGGAGGAGUAAAUUCUGCCUGGCUGCUACAGGUUGCAUCACACAAUCGCUGACUGGUAGGUCUCUGAGAAUUGUUACUGAUAGCUAGAUUUUAUCUUGGUAGGGGUAAGAGCUCAUGAAACAGGAUGACUCAAGGAAUGACUAAUGAACACUUUAUGAUGAAACUUCUGUCUAAGCCAUGUCAACUGUGACCAAAAAUUAUCAUCAGGGAGUUAUUUGACAGUCUAGGUUGAGUGAGCAGAUGCCCUGAGACCACCUUGUUGUAGACAUGUCUUAAAUGUGAAAUCCACUAAUUCAGUUUGUAUCAAUUAAUGUCAGUGGGGAAAACCACAAAUGGUGAUGAGGCAUGGUGGUGAACUUGGUUACCCCUCAAGUGGCUUCUCCCAUUUAGAGCUGGCCAUUUAAUGAGGUAGAUGAUAAACACAAAGUAAUGGCAGUUUCUCGUUUGUAAAUAAAUCAUUCCAGUCAGAUGUAUACACACAGCUUUGUUUUGUGUGUUCAUACAGAAACGCAGACUCCCAGGAACAGUUCCAGAUACUCAGCUGGGAUUACAUUAUCAACACGGGCAUCAUCGUAUUUAGGUGGGCCUCCUAUGCAAAUGUCAUGGGGAGUCCCUCUGUGUGACUCUAAGUUAUGACUCUACCAAAAUAUCCUUCUUCAGCUCCUUGA